rnacentral:rRNA from 1 species
GCUGUAUUGAAUAAGCGCAUACGGGUGGAUGUCCUAGGCAGUGAGAGGCGAUGGUGGGGCGACGUGCCAGCAUGCGGAGUGCCGCGGGGAGUUUGCAAACUAACUUUGAUCCGCGGAGGUCCGAAUGGGGAAACCCGGCCAAGAGCACUUGGUCAUCCUGCCCUGAAUACAUAGGGGUAGGAAGCGAACCCGGAGAACUGAAACAUCUAAGUACCCGGAGGAAAAGAAAUCAACCGAGACUCUCCUAGUAGCGGCGAGCGAACGGGGAUUAGCCCUUGCGUUGUACAUUUGUUAGUGGAACAGUUCCGGCAAGGCUGGCGGUACAGGGUGAUAGCCCGCCACGAAAGCGGUGUGCAGUGAAAACGAGUAGGUCGGAGCACGGGAAACCUUGACUGAAAACAUGGUGGACCCAUCCUCCAAGGCUAAAUACUCCUUACUGAAUUGAUAGUGAAACCACAGUACCGUGAGGGAAAGGCGAAAAGAACCCCGUGGAGAGGGAGUGAAAUAGAUCCUGGAAACCGUAUGCGUACAAGUUAAGUGGAGCCCCGAGGUAGUGGGGCAGAUCGCGUACCUUUUUGUAUAAUGGGUCAGCGACUUAACCUCAGUGGCAAGCUUAACCGAGUAGGGAGGCGUAGUAAACGAAAAAGGGAGUCUGAACAGGGCGUUCAGUCGCUGGGAUUAGACCCGAAAACCGGGCGAUCUAUCCAUGACCAGGCUGAAGGUUGGGUAAUACUAACUGGAGGGCCGAACCCACGUCUGUUGAAAAAUACGGGGAUGAGUUGUGGAUAGGAGUGAAAGGCUAAUCAAGCUCGGAGAUAGCUGGUUCUCCCCGAAAUCUAUUUAGGUAGAGCCUCGUGCGGACACUGUUGGGGUAGAGCACUGUUUCGGCUAGGGGUCGUCUAGAUUUACCAACCCGAUGCAAACUCCGAAUACCAACAAGUAAUACACGGAGACACACGGCGGGUGAUAAGGUCCGUCGUGAAGAGGGAAACAGCCCAGACCGUCAGCUAAGGUCCCAAAAUCUAUGCUCAGUGGGAAACGAUGUGGAAAGGCCCAGACAGCCAGGAGGUUGGCUUAGAAGCAGCCAUCCUUUAAAGAAAGCGUAAUAGCUCACUGGUCGAGUCGGUCUGCGCGGAAAAUGUAACGGGGCUAAGCGUAGUACCGAAGCUACGGGUUCAUCUUUAGGAUGAGCGGUAGAGGAGCGUUCCGUAAGCCUGUGAAGGUCAACUGGGAAGUUGGCUGGAGGUAUCGGAAGUGCGAAUGCUGACAUAAGUAACGACAAGGGGGGUGAAAAACCCCCCCGCCGAAAAACCCAAGGGUUCCUGCGCAACGCUAAUCGACGCAGGGUUAGUCGGUACCUAAGGCGAGGCCGAGAGGCGUAGUCGAUGGAGAACAGGUUAAUAUUCCUGUACCGGUCGUAACUGCGAUGGGGUGACGGAGAAGGCUACAUCAGCCGGGUGUUGGACGUCCCGGUUUAAGCGUGUAGGGAGUAGACUUAGGCAAAUCCGGGUCUGCAAUCCUGAGGCGUGAUGACGGAUUGUAUCUUCGGAUACGAUGAAGUGAUGGAUGCCCUGCUUCCAAGAAAAACCUCUAAGCAUCAGGUUACGAGUGGCCGUACCGUAAACCGACACAGGUGGGUGGGAUGAGAAUUCUAAGGCGCUUGAGAGAACUCGGCUGAAGGAACUAGGCAAAAUGACACCGUAACUUCGGGAGAAGGUGUGCCGCUGGUAGGUGAAGGACUUGCUCCUGGAGCUGAAGGCGGUUGCAAAAAUUGGUGGCUGCGACUGUUUAGCAAAACAUAGCACUCUGCAAACACGAAAGUGGACGUAUAGGGUGUGACGCCUGCCCGGUGCUGGAAGGUUAAUUGAUGGGGUUAGCGUAAGCGAAGCUCUUGAUCGAAGCCCCAGUAAACGGCGGCCGUAACUAUAACGGUCCUAAGGUAGCGAAAUUCCUUGUCGGGUAAGUUCCGACCUGCACGAAUGGCGUAACGAUGGCCACACUGUCUCCAGCCGAGACUCAGUGAAAUUGAAAUUGCGGUGAAGAUGCCGUAUACCCGUGGCUAGACGGAAAGACCCCGUGAACCUUUACUAUAGCUUGACACUGGACUUUGAAUCGAUUUGUGUAGGAUAGGUGGGAGGCAAUGAAGCGUGGACGCCAGUUCAUGUGGAGCCAACCUUGAAAUACCACCCUGGUUUAUUUGAAGUUCUAACCUAGGCCCAUUAUCUGGAUUGGGGACAGUGUCUGGUGGGUAGUUUGACUGGGGCGGUCUCCUCCUAAAGAGUAACGGAGGAGCACGAAGGUACCUCAGGUUGGUCGGAAAUCAACCAAUGAGUGCAAUGGCAUAAGGGUGCUUGACUGCGAGACGUACAAGUCGAGCAGGUACGAAAGUAGGUCAUAGUGAUCCGGUGGUUCUGUAUGGAAGGGCCAUCGCUCAACGGAUAAAAGGUACUCGGGGAUAACAGGCUGAUACCGCCCAAGAGUUCAUAUCGACGGCGGUGUUUGGCACCUCGAUGUCGGCUCAUCACAUCCUGGGGCUGAAGCAGGUCCCAAGGGUAUGGCUGUUCGCCAUUUAAAGUGGUACGCGAGCUGGGUUCAGAACGUCGUGAGACAGUUCGGUCCCUAUCUGCCAUGGGCGUUUGAGAUUUGAGGGAAGCUGCUCCUAGUACGAGAGGACCGGAGUGGACGCACCGCUGGUGUUCCAGUUGUCAUGCCAAUGGCAUUGCUGGGUAGCUAUGUGCGGACAGGAUAACCGCUGAAAGCAUCUAAGCGGGAAGCCCCUCCCAAGAUGAGAUCUCACUGGGACUAUAAGUCCCCUGAAGGGCCGUUGGAGACUACGACGUUGAUAGGCACGGUGUGGAAGCGCAGUAAUGCGUGUAGCUAACGUGUACUAAUUGCCCGUGAGGCUUGACCUU